rnacentral:lncRNA from 1 species
CUCCUGCUAUGGACACAUUACCUCUCAUGCUGGUGAAGGGAAAUGUGCUACUGUAUCCCUAUGGAGUUGCUGUGGUGCUGCCUUUGGAAUCCUGGCUCCUUUCUUUGCCAAAGUCCACCCCACAUCUCACUAUUUCUUUUCUCUGUUCCACCAGAAUCUCACUCUGCACUCAGUAUUCCUGCAGCAGAGAAUGGAAAAGGACAAAAGGGAAAUUCCAGAAUCAUGAAGAUGCCCUGGGAUGAGAGCAGGGAUUGAGGGAACAGCCCUGGGACCUUUGGAAUGCUGUAUGGUUAAUAUUUCUAAUGUAAUGUCGUCUUCACUGAAAGCAUUAAAUAAUCAGGGGACACUUGUGUAUCAUCAUCCAAGCGAACUUUCUGAUCCCUGCUUCAUGAGUCCCACUGGAUCAUUCUUGUUUGUUUAUUUGCUGAAUGAUAUUGAAAUAUUACUUCUAACCUUUAGCAGCAUAAAUUUAACAGUGAGACAGGAUAAUAAGGAGUCUUGAUUCCACCAUUCAUCCACAAUAUUGUACAAAAAGGAUCGGCAAUGCAAUAAUAUCCAAGCUGUCCGGGAACCCUUGGGAGUUGUUCCUUUUCAUAUCUUGCCUAUAAAAUA